UCCGGUUUAGACCGGCGGUCCCCCUAGAGAUUUCAACUAAGGGCAAGGGUUGCGCUCGUUGCGGGACUUAACCCAACACCUCACGGCACGAGCUGACGACAGCCAUGCAGCAUCUGUGCACGCUCCCUUGCGGGUCCCUUCCCUUACAGGUCAGUACCACGUGCAUGUCAAGCCGAGGUAAGGUUCUGCGCGUUGCAUCGAAUUAAACCACAUGCUCCGCUGCUUGUGCGGGUCCCCGUCAAUUCCUUUGAGUUUUAGCCUUGCGGCCGUACUCCCCAGGCGGGGCACUUAAUGCGUUAGCUUCGGCACGGAGGGAGUCGACACCCCCCACACCUAGUGCCCAUCGUUUACAGCGUGGACUAC
rnacentral:misc_RNA from 1 species